rnacentral:misc_RNA from 1 species
GGGCAACCAUGUAUAAGG